rnacentral:rRNA from 1 species
UUGUUGCUAUGCUAGACAUAGCAGUAAUGCAGUUAACACAGUAAGUGUGCCGCCUGGGGAGUACGGUCGCAAGAUUAAAACUCAAAGGAAUAGACGGGGACCCGCACAAGCGGUGGAGCAUGUGGUUUAAUUCGACGAUACGCGAAGAACCUUACCUGGCCUUGACAUAGGAAGAACUUACUAGAGAUAGUUUGGUGCUAGUUUACUAGAACUUCCAUACAGGUGCUGCACGGCUGUCGUCAGCUCGUGUCGUGAGAUGUUGGGUUAAGUCCCGCAACGAGCGCAACCCUCGUGUUUAGUUACUAACAGUUCGGCUGAGGACUCUAGGCAGACUGCCUGGGUAACCAGGAGGAAGGUGAGGACGACGUCAAGUCAUCAUGGCCCUUACGGCCAGGGCUACACACGUGCUACAAUGGGGUAUACAAAGAGCCGCGAUACCGUGAGGUGGAGCAAAUCUCAUAAAAUAUCUCCCAGUUCGGAUAGUAGUCUGCAACUCGACUACUUGAAGUUGGAAUCGCUAGUAAUCGUAGAUCAGCAAUGCUACGGUGAAUACGUUCCCGGGUCUUGUACUCACCGCCCGUCACACCAUGGGAGUUGAUUUCAUUCGAAGCGGGGAUGCUAAAAUAGCUACCUUCCACAGUGGAAUUAGCGACUAGGGUGAAGUCGUAACAAGGUAGCCG